rnacentral:rRNA from 1 species
GACGAACCGUGCAAACGUUAUUCGGAAUCACUGGGCUUAAAGGGCGCGUAGGUGGUUGAUCAAGUCUGGGGUGAAAUCUUUCGGCUUAACCGGAAAAGUGCCUUGGAAACUGAUCAGCUUGAGGGAGGUAGGGGCAGUUGGAACUUCCAGUGGAGCGGUGAAAUGCGUUGAUAUUGGAAGGAACGCCGGUGGCGAAAGCGAACUGCUGGACCUCUUCUGACACUGAGGCGCGAAAGCUAGGGGAGCAAACGGG